UACGGAAGGCAGCAGUGGGGAAUAUUGCACAAUGGGCGCAAGCCUGAUGCAGCCAUGCCGCGUGUAUGAAAAAGACCUUCGGGUUGUAAAGUACUUUCAGUCGUGAGGAAGGUGUUAAGGUUAAUAACCUUAGCAAUUGACGUUAGCGACAGAAGAAGCACCGGCUAACUCCGUGCCAGCAGCCGCGGUAAUACGGAGGGUGCGAGCGUUAAUCGGAAUUACUGGGCGUAAAGGGCACGCAGGCGGUUAAUUAAGUUGGAUGUGAAAUCCCCGGGCUUAACCUGGGAAUGGCAUUCAAGACUGGUUAGCUAGAGUCUUGUAGAGGGGGUAGAAUUCCAUGUGUAGCGGUGAAAUGCGUAGAGAUGUGGAGGAAUACCGGUGGCGAAGGCGGCCCCGUGGACAAAGACUGACGCUCAUGUGCGAAAGCGUGGGGAGCAAACAGGGAUUAGAUACC
rnacentral:rRNA from 1 species